GGCUUAGUGGCUUAGUGGUUAGCACUGUGGCCUCGCACCGCCAAGGUUGGGGGUUCAAAUCCUGCCUCUGCCC